rnacentral:tRNA from 1 species
GUUUUAAUAGUUUAAGAAAAAUAAUGAUCUUGUAAAUCAUAGAUAAGUUAAUUUGACUUUUAAAACU